UGUUCUGUGGACACAUUUGACUAAUUUUGACUGUUUCAAACUGCGAUGCUUUGCUCUCCUUGAACUUGCUGCAAAAAAAAAAAGCAGCUCUUCCAGUGACUGGAAUCAGCAUGAGCCAGAUUUGGUCCCAAAAGGCUGUUUUCCAGAAGCACGGGAGUUUCAAGAUCUUUUAAGAUGGAGAUAACAGCCAACUAAUUCUACAACUGGAAAAAGGCAUAUGACACACAAACUGGGCUUUGGGAGCAGCACUGAAAUAGUGUUGUUCAGAGAUCCUUCUGAGGCAUGGUGGGAAACGAUCUCCAUAUUAUUUUUCAUAAAUAUGGCUUUGCAGUCCCUUACUGCUGCUGCAUAAACUGGAUAAGGAAACAGAUUUUUCUUAAGUACUGAAGCAUGCCACUGAUCCAUAGGAAAGGAAAAAAUGAGGGAUCUCCAUGAAUACUCACCCAUCUCUGGGAAGUAGGGAGAUUUUGCUAUAAAUCAGCUCCCAGAGCUUGAGCUUGGCUUUGUUUUCAACUCUAAGACAACUAAGACAAGUUUAAUGAACAAAAGGAAGAUGGGAAGCAGCCAUUUUAAACAACUUGUUUGGAAAGCUAAAGACUAAGACGGAUCUAGAUGGCCUUGGGAAGAUAGCAAAAGCUGACAUCUUCACCACUGCACCACACUGAAGUGCAAGCCCCAUCACAUGCUGAAGGCAGAGCAGUGCUCAGAGGUGUCUCUUGGGUUUAGAACAAUUUCCUGAAGAUGCUCAGGCCUUUUUUUUGCCCAUGGAGCUGACAAUGCUCAACUGAAUAGAACUCAUAAAGGAUGAUUAAUAGUUAGUAAACAAGGGCUGUUUUGUCUUACAUGGCAGAAUGUUAGAAGUUAUUUUGCACAUUAGAAAGCACCUGAAUUAGUUAUUUUGUCAGCUAGUCAGGUCUCAAAAGGAAAAGUACUGCAAAUGUUCUCUCCCUCUCCCUCUUUCUUUCUCUCUCCCCUUUAAUGGUUUCCAUCUCUAUCUCCCUAUUUUUCCUGAGGCAGUUAUCGGUGCAUUUUUUCAGAUUUCCCAGGCAGAUACAUUAUCUUAUGAUACAGCCCAUGGUUGUGAAUGUCACAGCUUGCUGUUUGACAUGAUGUCUCCCUAAGAAGAUGCAUCAUCCUGGGGGGCAGGGGUGUGGUGAAAUGACUGUACCUUCCUCAGUAAUCAUACUUAAAUAAAACAGCUUAAGAAUAUGUACAUGAUAUCCUGUACUAAGCAUCUUACCACAAGCUUAAAUGAAAAGCAGCCUAGCUCUUCCUUAUUCUUCAUGGUUGUCCUUCAUGGCACAUCCAGCAGGAAUAGCACAUCGUCUGCCAUUGGCUCUUUUCUUUAGUAAAAGUCCACCUAGCUGGUUCUAAAGGCCCCAGAAAGUUAUUUUACUUUGUUUUCUAUUGAUUAUAGCAAAGUUUAGAUUGUUCUUCUGAAGAGGACUGAUCCUGGGAACAAUUUAGGGCUGAUCAAUGGUCUUUGGAUAUUAAAAGCAUAGUAUGGCAGGAGGGUCUACUUGAAGAGGA